rnacentral:rRNA from 1 species
AGGCCUAACACAUGCAAGUCGAGCGGUAGAGAGGUGCUUGCAUCUCUUGAGAGCGGCGGACGGGUGAGUAAUGCCUAGGAAUCUGCCUAGUGGUGGGGGAUAACGUUCGGAAACGGACGCUAAUACCGCAUACGUCCUACGGGAGAAAGCGGGGGAUCUUCGGACCUCGCGCCAUUAGAUGAGCCUAGGUCGGAUUAGCUAGUUGGUGAGGUAAUGGCUCACCAAGGCGACGAUCCGUAACUGGUCUGAGAGGAUGAUCAGUCACACUGGAACUGAGACACGGUCCAGACUCCUACGGGAGGCAGCAGUGGGGAAUUUUGGACAAUGGACGCAAGUCUGAUCCAGCCAUUCCGCGUGCAGGAUGAAGGCCCUCGGGUUGUAAACUGCUUUGUACGGAACGAAAAGGUUUGUCUUAAUACGAUGAGCUCAUGACGGUACCGUAAGAAUAAGCACCGGCUAACUACGUG